GGUGGCUGUCGCCAAGUGGUAAGGCGAGAGGCUGUGACCCUCUCAAGCGUGAGUUCGAUUCUCACCAGUCACCCCCA
rnacentral:tRNA from 1 species